GCCGGAGUGGCGAAACUGGCAGACGCGCAGGAUUUAGGAUCCUGUGGGGCAACCCUUGGAGGUUCGACUCCUCUCUCCGGCA
rnacentral:tRNA from 1 species